ensembl:lncRNA
CGCGGGCUUCCUUCCUAGGGGGCGCUGCGGAGCGCGGGCGGAGGCGCGCGCGCAGGCGCGCGCGCCAGGCCUCGGGACUCUUUUGCCCUCUCAGGGCGGAAGGAACGCUGUCGGCCAGCGGGAAGGGUCCUUGCCUAUCCGAGGCCUCAGCGGCCCGGGAGCGGCCCCCGCCCCUUUAAUCUUUUCUGAGCGGGGCGUCGCGGCAGCGCAGCCCUUUUGAGAUGCCGCGGAGGGUCGGCCGCCGGGUUUCAGGGCUUCCCCGCCUGCGUCGAGGGGAGUGGGCGUUGUCCGUGGUGAAAUAAAAACUGGGAAGGGAUCUUCGCCCAGUUGGCGCUUUCUCAGCGCGCUGACCUGUGGUCGAGGCUUGGAGCCGACCUCUGGAGAGGGCAGAGGCCCCAAGCGGAGAUUUCUUUUCUAGAUCAAUACUGAAUGGAUCAAAUCGGAAAGAAGCCUCUCUGGCCAGAAAAAGAAGAAAUAACAUCCUUAAAGGAGGAACGUGUAAAUCAGGAAUUGAGCCAAGAAAAGCAUGGGAGGCUACUCCUCUGUCUUCCUCCUUCUCAAUGUAGUUUUGCUCCUUGAGAGAAUAUAGGACCUACAUCAAGUCCUGAAAUACCAGGCUAGAUGAACCACAAGCUGGAAUCAAGAUUUCCGGGACAAAUACCAACAACUUCAGAUAUGCAAACACUCUAAUAUCAGAAAGUAAAGAGGAACUAAAGAGCCUCUUGAUGAGGGUAAAAAAGGAGAAUGAAAAAGCUGGCUUAAAACUCAGCUUUCAAAAAACCAAGACCAUGGCAUCCAGUCCCAUCACCAUGGCAAAUAGAAGCAGUGACAGAUUUUAUUUUCUUGGGCUCUAAAACCACUGUGGAUGGUGACUGCAGCCAUGAAAUUAAAAGCCACUUGCUCCUUGAAAGGAAAGCUAUGAUAAACUUAGCAUAUUAAAAAGCAGAGGCAUCAUUUUGCCAACAAAGAUCUAUGUGGUCAAAGCUAUGAUUUUUCCAGUAGUCAUGUACAGAUGUGAGAGUUGGACCAUAAGGAAGGCUGAGUGCCAAAGAAUUGAUGUUUUUGAAUUGUGCUGGAGAAGAUGCUUGAGAGACCUUUGGACAGCAAGGAGAUCAAACCAGUCAAUCCUAAAGAAAAUUACCCCUGAAUAUUCAUUGGAAGGACUGAUGCUGAAGCUGAAGCUCCAAUACUUUGGCCACCAGAUGUGAAGACCUGAUUCACUGGAAAAGACUCAUGCUGGGAAAGAUUGAAAGCAAAAAGAAGAGGGAGGCAGAGGAUGAGAUGGUUAGAUAACAU